AACUGUUAUGGUGGCAGUUCACUCUCCCAUGGUUUGCGGCCCAUUUUCUCCACUAGGCACGGUUGCUAUAAAAUUGGGACGUGGGUAGAAAGCAGUUGCCGAGCAGCCUUAUAUAAUGUAAACCCCUGAAUCAAAAACGCCGUACCUUCAAUCGUGAUUUAUGGGUAAAUAUUGAUUUGAAGUUUUGAAGGUAAUGUGUCUAUAAUCCUAUUUAUUGCUCACUUGAUUGAUUCCCUCGAACAAACUUCUGAAAUCUGAUUAGUUUCUUCUAAUUGAAUCCUUCGAUAAUAUCUUCUUAAAUCCGUUCUGUUAAUUACUUGAUGGAAGUGUUGAAGGUAAUUUUUCUAUCAUAAAUAGUUUCUGCCCUAAAUCAAUUUGCCCUAAUUAUGCUCUGGUCUAUUCUAUUAAUUUGCUCAAUAAACAUUCAUAUAUGUCAAGUAUGUUGAAAGUUUAAAUUUAUAACUGUUUUUUUUCAGCGUUAAUUUUGUUGUUCAAUGUACUGACUGUAGUUGAUUUUUUGGUUAGGAUGAUGAAGAAGAAUCCUUAGGCACGAAAAGAACAUGUGACAACAUUGGGAGGUGUUUUGUAAGCAUUAAGUAUUCAUAUAAAGAUGGUGAAUCUGAAAAUUUUGAUUGCUGUAGUGAUGUUUCUAAUAAUAAUCUUUGUGGUAACUGGUAAGAUACCCUUUGAUGGCCCUCUCACGAGCUUCCCAAUCGAAAGGUAUAUCCCACACUAUACCAUAUGAAAGUUUGUACCUUUCAAUCUUUAGUUCAUCGGUAUUGAUCAUGUUUAAACUAAAAUGGGGGAUAAUAUGUUUCUUUUUGUUUCUGUCACUUAUGAAUACAACACACAGAACGGGCUAAGGCUACAAGGACUCAUGUUUUAAGUAGUAAAUUUUGAGAAGCACUUUGAAAUCAGCCAAAGUUAAUUCAUUUGUUUAAACUUUUGAAGUUAUGUUUGAUGUGUUGUGUUAUUUUGAUUGAAAAGGUGUAAGCAUGCUAUUCUAUCUGCAGUUUCUUUUUGUGUUUGAAUCUGGUAUUUGGAUUUUGAGGUUAAUUUUUUAUAAUAUAAUUAAUAAUUGAUUGAUUUAACAGAUACAGUUUAGUGGUCAUUUUUGUAGAAAAUUCCACUUAGAUUUAUCCACAGAGUUGCUCUCAUGUUCUGAAUCCGGGUUCAUUACGAGUAUCAGAAUUACGUCUACUGUUUACGGGCUCUUUUUUUAAAUGCUAAGUGCAUGUAUUCGGUAGUUGAUGGCUAUUCUGUUUACAUCAAGGGUCUCCCAAUGAAUGCUACACCUGCUUUGUUGGAGAAAGAGUUCUAGAAAUUUGGUCCUAUUACGCCAAAUGGCAUUCAAGUUCGAAACAACAUGGUACAUAUCCAUUUUAUUUUUUUCUAAGCGUUUGAACCGUUUUUUUUUUUUUUUUGUAACUUUGCAGGGAUUUUGUUUUCGAUUUGUUGAAUUUGAGGUGCCUGAUGCAGUUCAAAAGGCGAUUCAGGCGUCGCCAGUCGCAAUCAAUGGAUGCAUUGCUAUUGUUGAGGAAACACGCCCAACAAACACAUAUGCAAUUAGAUUACAUGUGGCAAAUGGAUUAGUUAAUGGGUUGAAAUAUUGAGUAACUUGGAUCAUAGUAGAUAAAAGCAUUCAGAACAUAUUAUUAAAGCAUAUAGGUAUAAUUUUCUUGAAACAGUAGCGCGUGGGAGAUUUCCUAUUUGAAGGGGCGGUGGAUUCAGAAAUGAAGGAAUGAGGGGUCGUGGAAACUUCACCGGCGGUAGAGUGUGCAAACGUGACUUUGGGGGCAACAGGUGUGGUGGUCGUGGUGGUGAUGGAUAUCAGGGGAAACCGGGGAAUGGGUGUUAAUAAGAAUAUGGCAUCAUGGGUUCCAGCCAACACUCGAAUGAUUGGGGGGGGGGGGGGGGUUAAUGACUUUGAUUUGCUCUUAUUGACUUAGUUAGGAUUUUUUUGGCUAUUUGUCCGGUGUGCAGUUUUUUUAGCGUCAUAUUGGGUGCAACACCUAUGGCUGCAUUCCAAAUAUGCUUGCAGGUGUGGCUGACAUCAUCACUUCUUGCUGAUGGGUUGGUAGUUGCUGAACAGGUAGAUGUUUGUUUUGUGUUAUGGUUCAAGUGGCAAACGAUCUACCAGAACCAAAUGGUGUCCAGGAACCUUUAGACCCGCGUAGGACUUGAACGAAGCCUCUGUCAUUAAUCGGUUUCACUUUUUUUUUAAUCUGUUCUGCUCAAGAUUUUGAAGCGUUCACCAUGAGUUCGUAAUCCGCCGUUGGAGAAAAAUUGCUUGCGAAACACAUCUUAAAGGAAUAUCAUCUGUUGUAUCUCAAAGUCAAGAAUCUUUGUUAAUGGUAGCUGGGUAGGGGAUCCACUGCAGAGCUCUUGGUGAGGACCUCAUGACCUUGAGACAGUUAAGGCUACAAUUUUUUUUUUACUUUGUACAACAAACCCACUCAUUAAAAUCACGAAUAUGUGUUAGCCUACUGGCCUCGCCUAAAUCCCAAAUAUAUUUAGGCAGGUUGAUGCAUUUGGAAAAGAUUCAUUUGAGGAAGGAGAGAAAAGAUCUCAAGGAAGUUAACACUCAAGUAGUGGAUCAAAUAGGGUCUGCUCCUUUAUUGUAUACGGAAAAAUGGACGGGAUGACCCAUUUUGGUAAAGGGUUCAGGCCAAAAUGACUCAGAAUGUGUUGUAAUAGUAAAACGCAACAAGUAAAUAUUUGUGUUCAUAGAUUCAUUCACGUUGUUACUAUAUAAUAAAUCAACGUAACCCGUCCAACGGACGGGUAUUAAACUA